rnacentral:rRNA from 1 species
UACAGAGGUCUCAAGCGUUGUUCGGAUUCAUUGGGCGUAAAGGGUGUGUAGGUGGCGCCGUAAGUCAGGUGUGAAAUCUCGGGGCUUAACUCCGAAACUGCAUUUGAUACUGCGGUGCUUGAGGACUGGAGAGGAGACUGGAAUUCAUGGUGUAGCAGUGAAAUGCGUAGAGAUCAUGAGGAAGACCAGUGGCGAAGGCGGGUCUCUGGGCCGAUACUGACGCUGAGGAGCGAAAGCGUGGGGGAGCGAACAGGG